rnacentral:lncRNA from 1 species
AUCUGUUUCAGAGCAGAACCUGCCUGAAUCACAAUGUGGCUUCCGACCAGAUUGCAGCACCAUCGACAUGGUCUUCACAGUGAGGCAAAUGCAGGAAAAAUGCCUUGAGCAGAACCUGAGUCUCUACAUUGUCUUCAUAGACCUGACAAAGGUGUUCGACACAGUGAACAGGGACGCAUUGUGGGUGAUCCUCAGCAAGCUCAGUUGCCCAGCAAAAUUCGUCAAACUGAUCCAGCUCUUUCAUGUAGACAUGACAGGGGAAGUCCUAUCUGAUGGAGAGACUUCCGAUCGCUUCAACAUCUCCAAUGGCGUGAAACAAGGCUGUGUCCUCGCUCCGGUACUAUUCAACCUAUACUUCACCCAAGUAUUACGACAUGCUGUGAUGGAUCUUGACCUGGGCGUCUACAUCAAAUACCGACUGGAUGGCUCACUAUUUGACCUUCGCCGCCUGACUGCAAAAACAAAGACAACAGAGAGACUCAUCCUGGAAGCUCUCUUCGCAGAUGACUGUGCUCUCAUGGCCCACCAAGAAAAUCAUCUCCAAACCAUUGUGGACAGGUUCUCCACCGCAACAAAACUGUUUGGCCUGACUAUCAGCCUCAGCAAAACAGAGGUGCUGCUCCAACCUGCACCACGGAGGCCAACGAACCAGCCGUGCAUUACAAUCGACGGCACGCAGCUUUCCAACGUCAACACUUUCAAGGACCUGGGCAGCACCAUCGCCAACGACGGGUCCCUAGACCACGAGAUUAAUGCCAGGAUCCAAAAGGCCAGCCAGGCACUCGGGCGGCUGCGCUGCAAAGUCCUCCAACACAGCAGUGUAAGCACUGCGACGAAGCUCAAAGUGUACAACGCAGUGGUCCUCAGCUCGCUCCUGUACGGUUGUGAGACAUGGACACUGUACCGGAAGCACAUGAAACAGCUGGAGCAAUUCCACCAACGCUCCCUCCGGUCAAUCAUGAGGAUCCGAUGGCAGGACCGAAUCACCAACCAGGAAGUCCUCGACAGAGCCAACUCCACCAGCAUCGAAGUCCUGGUCCUCAAAGCCCAGCUACGAUGGUCUGGACACGUCAUCCGCAUGGACCCACAGCGAAUACCAAGACAGGUAUUCUAUGGUGAACUGUCAUCUGGACUCAGGAAACAAGGCCGAC